rnacentral:ncRNA from 1 species
CUUACCGGAGGUGACAUGGAUCCCGAUCCCACGCUUCUCCUGAACGGGAGCGUUCUUUCUUUCCGGUAAGCCAGCCUUUGUGCUGUCUCACCGGUAUGUGAGGCAGCAACGUCC